CUUUAAGAGAUUGUAAUGGGUUUGGUUUCUUUCUAUUUGUGGCUUUUAUUUGGUAGUUACGGUCUUUCGUCCUUAUGUAUGCGGUCGCCGUCGACACUGUUCGAUUUGUUCAGAAAAAGUAAGGACACUUUGUACGAUGUCACCGACACCUGUACCUCCUGCAUGAGAGAGAGAGAAAGAAAAAAACCCAAGACUCAGCAUGGCCAAUUAUAGAGAAUAAGAUAAAGGAAGGAACAAACUAUUUUCGGUUUUUUCCUUCUUUUUUUUUUAUAAAUUCUCUUGUUUUUGUUGUUCUUGGCCUGCAAAAAACCCUAAAAUCAAAAUCGUCCCUUAAGUCAUUACUGAAAAGAGUUAGAUUUUAUGUUCAUGGAGCCUUUUGGUAUCUUUCCUUAAUUGGGUCACACUGUGUGCUCAGAUCUGACUCAUUUUUGUGCGUAUAAAUUCCCUUUUUUCUUUAUAUGUGUGUUCAGGGUAGAUGUCUAUGUGUGUGGUUGGUGGUUUCUACUUAUGGAAAGCAUUAUCUUCACUUUUAUCUUUACUCAUUUCUCUCUUUUAUUUUCAUUCUUGGAACAUAGAAAUUGACAGAAGAGAGUGAGCACACAGAGGCACUUGUAUAAGCUAUACUUUUGCUUUUGCGUGCUCACUUCUCUUUCUGUCAGCUUCCAGUGCCGGAAUCUGAUCUAUUUUCGUUCAGUUCUUGGCCUGUUUUUGUUCCAAAUCAACCACUCUUUUCUUCGCCUCUCUCAUUCUCUAUAUCAACUGUGUUGAGUUGAAGAAAGAAGACAAAACACCACCUUAUACGAUAACGGAGGAGAAAAAUGGUACGCCUAAUUAGUGAUUACUGUGCGGAUUUUGCGGCAAAACUCUGCUUAGCAUGGGACCAUUCACGUUAUCUAGCUAGUAACAUUUUCUUACGCUUUGAGCCCCUAUGUUUAGCAUUGGAGUACGUUCUUCACCAACGACAGAAAUGUUGGAUUCCGACUGAAGAUUAGUAUGACGUAUGUUGCUAGAGUUUGUAACUUGUGAUCAUAAAGACUGACUGUUUUAGAGCUUGUGAGAUAUAAAUACUGGUGAUCAAUAAAGACCAUUGAGUGAGAACACAGUUAUAAAUACUGAAUUUGGUUUUCUUAAUUAAAACGUUUAACAUGAUACUCAAAAGUAUAAAAAUGAAAUUUUACUUGUUUUAGUGCAUGGUAAUUAAGGAUAUAUUUAUCUAAAGAAUGUGUUGAUAUAAUAAAAAGUUUUGUCUGAAUGUAACAUUGAAUAUAUUUGGAUUAAGGGGAAGUAGGGAAAAUGGUCUUUAGGAGUUCUCUUUAUCUGUGUGAAGUUGGAUAAUCAAAGAGUCAAGUGGAUUUAUUGGCGAUUGAUAGGAUUUACCUGCGGUCUUUUUCUGAUUCAAAUACUACAAUGUUCUACUUGAGAUAUGAAUAAUUCUACCCUCUUAUAUAUGAGUUUGUUUUGUUUAAGUCACAUCUUUGGUUAACCUUAAAUUUUCAGAAGCCUGAUUCUCACUUUGGCAGCGGAAUUGAUAUUUUAUUUUAGCAGCUUCAGCUAGUGGGUACACCAUUUGGAUUUCUCAAAUGAAAACCAAGAAACCUUGUGGGGAGAGCUCACCACUUUUAAGGAUGUAGAUGAAAGCAGCAGGUGCAAAGGAAUGUGGUGCUUUAUUCUGAAAAAGAUCUCAAAGCUUAAUGACCUAGAUUUUGCAUUUACACAUCUAUUUACAUGCAGUGGGGCUCCUCUGAUCAAUGUCUGUUGGGCAUGCAAAUGUUUCAGAUGGUCAAAAAUAGUUGCUUUACGGCAUUGAAUUCUGACAGCUCUAAUUCCUAUUUACUUUAGGUACUGAGGAUCUGUUGAUAAGGAUGACAGCUUUUCUUAUUGUCGUUUUGGUUGUAGGUGAAAGCUUCUCUAAGUUCUCAUUUACACAUUUAUUCUGUGCAUAGAGAGAGGUAUCUCAUUGAAUGAAAUUGGAAGAAUACUGCAAUCAAGUACUAUAUUAUUCAUAAGGAAUCUCGAGUAGCAUUUCAAAUUUCU